AUGUUGAAUUCUCUGGUUUCAUUAGACCGCAGGUCUUGGAUCUCAGCAAAGUGUCUAUACAAGUAGUAUUGGUCAUCAGGAUUUGCUGAACUCCAUUCAAUCGUCAAUGGCGCACUGGCAUUAGUACAUAUCUUAGUGCAUCUAUCGGUGGAGCAUAUUUGUUGGAAUGGACCACAUCGAGAUCGGUGGAAAUCUGCGUCCAUUCCAUCUUAAAGUAUGAUCUCCAUAUCCGGUCAUAGAUAUCUCUUGAGUACCUAUGUAGUGAUGAAAUGUUGUUUUAGCAACGUAAAAUGUCAAGGAACUCUAUAAUUCACACAAAAGAAAAUAUAUAGA